ensembl:rRNA 5S_rRNA 5S ribosomal RNA
GUCUACGGCCAUACCACCCUGAAUGCGCCCAAUCUCGUCUGAUCUCAGAAGCUAAGCAGGGUCGGGCCUGGUUAGUACUUGGAUGGGAGACCAAAAGACAUCCAAGGAGACCGAGGGCA